rnacentral:rRNA from 1 species
AUGGCUCAGGAUGAACGCUAGCUACAGGCUUAACACAUGCAAGUCGAGGGGCAGCAGAUCGAUAGCUUGCUAUGAUGCUGGCGACCGGCGCACGGGUGAGUAACGCGUAUCCAACCUUCCCUAUAGUAGAGGAUAGCCCGGCGAAAGUCGGAUUAAUACUCUAUGUUUUCCAAUGCAGACAUCUAAGUUGGAACAAAGGUUCACCGCUAUAGGAUGGGGAUGCGUCUGAUUAGGUUGUUGGCGGGGUAACGGCCCACCAAGCCUACGAUCAGUAGGGGUUCUGAGAGGAAGGUCCCCCACAUUGGAACUGAGACACGGUCCAAACUCCUACGGGAGGCAGCAGUGAGGAAUAUUGGUCAAUGGGCGAGAGCCUGAACCAGCCCAAGUAGCGUGCAGGAUGACGGCCCUAUGGGUUGUAAACUGCUUUUAUACGGGGAUAAAGUGAGGGACGUGUCCCUUUUUGUAGGUACCGUAUGAAUAAGGACCGGCUAAUUCCGUGCCAGCCGCCGC